UACGUAUGGUGCAAGCGUUAUCCGGAUUUACUGGGCGUAAAGGGAGCGCAGGCGGCGCGCCAAGUCUGAUGUGAAACCCCGGGGCUCAACCCAGGGCAUGCAUUGGAAACUGGCGGGCUGGAGUGCCGGAGAGGUAAGCGGAAUUCCUAGUGUAGCGGUGAAAUGCGUAGAUAUUAGGAGGAACACCAGUGGCGAAGGCGGCUAACUGGACGGCAACUGACGCUGAGGCUCGAAAGCGUGGGGAGCAAACAGG
rnacentral:rRNA from 1 species